GGGAAGGUAGCUCAGUGGUAGAGUGCUUGCCUUGCAUGCAUGAAGCCUUGGGUUUGAUUCCUCAACACCA
rnacentral:tRNA from 1 species